UACGUAGGUCCCGAGCGUUGUCCGGAUUUACUGGGUGUAAAGGGUGCGUAGGCGGCUAUGCAAGUCAGUAGUGAAAUCCAUGGGCUUAACCCAUGAACUGCUAUUGAAACUGCACAGCUUGAGUGAAGUAGAGGUAGGCGGAAUUCCCGGUGUAGCGGUGAAAUGCGCAGAGAUCGGGAGGAACACCAGUGGCGAAGGCGGCCUACUGGGCUUUAACUGACGCUGAGGCACGAAAGCGUGGGUAGCAAACAGG
rnacentral:rRNA from 1 species